UAAGAGACUUUCUAAAGAGAAUACAUAUGGUUAUGAAAUGUGUCAAAAAACUUAUGUUGGUGAUCACAAAAUUGCAUAUCCUUAUUCUCUUUAGUGUGCGGGCCAAUAACCUUGUCCCAACCUCAUUCACUCCGUCUUCACCUCACAUAUUGCCUCCUUAUUCCUCUGAACUUGAUAUUGCUGAAUUGCAUUGGUGCCUUACACGUGCAGUUGGUCAUUGUACUAGAUUUAAAAGCACAUGGCCAUUUCCUGACAAACUGUACGAACUUUGUAUAAUUGACGCUUUUGCAGUGUGCUUCGUUGAAACCUCGUAUUUUAAAAACCCAAUUACUUUUCAUAUCCUUUCAUAUUGCCUCGAAGUCAAUUGCGAUCCUAAAUUGAGAAUUAAAGCCAAACAUCGUCAAAGAGCCCUUUAUGCUCAUUGUUUAUUGGAAUGUUAUGAUAAGCAUGUCACCAACCCCAAUGAUGUCAUUUAUAUGCAUAAUCGUUGAGUUUCAACUUUGAUAAGUAUGGGAUUGUGGUGUCGUACCACAAUCACAUGCGAGUUUUGCAGGAACGAAAGCAGGAGCUGCUAGGUUAUGGAUGAGAGCUUUAGUUUGUAGAUGUUAUAUGCAAUGAUAAUGUAAUGUUUGUGCCGCAUGUGGUACGUAUGUUGUUAAUUGUAAGUAUUUUAUUAUAUCAGAACAAAUGGUUAUUAUUUUAUAUAUUGAGGUUAUUCAGUCAGCUCUGAUAUGUUAUUGUAAAAAAAGAAAAUGUAUUCCGCUGUCAAUUUAUACUCCGAUGACAUCGUUGUUGAUUUCAUAAUGACACGUGGAAAUCGAAAUUUUCACUUACGUAUUUUUGUAAAA